GAUGAACGCUGGCGGCGUGCUUAACACAUGCAAGUCGAACGGAAGGGCGCUGCUUGGGUUGGGGGCUCGAGGGGCGAACGGGUGAGUAACACGUGAGUAACCUGCCCUGGACUGUGUGGUAACUUGAGGGAACUGGGGCUAAUACAUAAGAGGUGCUCCUGCUGCAUGGGGGGGGUUGGACAUUGUGGGCGGGGGGGGGUGGAUUGGCGGUUUAUCAGCUUGUUGGUUGGGUAGCGGCCUACGAAGGCCUAGACGGGUAGCCUGCCUGAGAGGGUGACCGGGCACCAGGGGCCUGCGAUACGGAGCAGAGUGGUACGGGAGGCAGCAGUGGGGAACAUUGCCCAAUAAGCGGAAGCCUGAUGCAGCAACGCCGGGUGCGGGAUGACGGCCUUCGGGUAGUGAACAGGAUUGGCCUGUGACGAAGCGUGAGUGACGGUACCGGGAAAAGAAGCACCGGCUAACUACGUG
rnacentral:rRNA from 1 species